CUCUACUCGUCACCCUGAUCACUUUGGUAUAUAUAACCCUAUAUCUGACUCUUUUAGUUUUACGACUUACAAACAACCUAGCGCUAUUCCCACGUUAACCACUGCUCCUGUAGGGGCUAAUUAACGGCAGGAAAGAAUGGAGUCUCGUUCUAAAAAAGAAAUGUUAACAACAAUGUAAGUACUUCAAGAAGUAAUUCAAGAAGACGAGGUUGGAGAGGCACCUCAAACUGCAGGAGAGGAGGUCAUCGAUGAGACAGACGAGAAAAUACUGCAUUUGGAAACAGAAAUACAAAGACUGAAUAGUGUUGUUAGAACUUUGAAGAAGUGCAAAAACGAGCAGUCAGCAGAAAUUAAACGCCUUAUAAUUUCCAUUAGAACCUCGGAAUUCCACAGAAAUAAUUUGGAGCAAAAGCUUAGCUGCAUUUUCAACAACGGCCAGAUUGAAAAAAAAAUUAAGGUGUGGAAAUAAACGGCGGAAUUGGAAAGAAGAAGACAUAGCUAAGUCGAUCACGCUAUAUUCAACUAGCCCGAAAGCGUACAAACUUUUACGGAGAAACAACUUUCCUCUUCCAGGUGUGCGCACUCUGCAGUGGUGGUCAAAGAAAAUUGACGUAGCUCCAGGUGUCAUAGAGCCGGUGAUGAAACUGUUGAAGGCAGCAACUGAGCUAACACAAGCGCAAAAAAAUUUUGUACUCAGUUUUGAUGAAAUGAAGAUCAGAAAGAGUUACUGUUACGAAAGAUUCACUGAUUCGACAUUGCGUCCUGUUAACUACGUUCAGGUUGCAAUGCUAAGAGGUUUGAUAAGUAAAUGGAAACAGCCUGUAUUCUUCGAAUAUGACCGCAAAAUGACGAAGGAAGUACUGUUUAGCAUUUUGUCAGGCGUUAAAAAGUGCGGUUACUAUAUUGUUGCCAUUGUAAGCGAUUUGGGUGGAUCAAAUAGAGGAUCAUAUAAUGGUAUUGAAAUUAAUGUGGAAUAACCUUGGUUUUUACACGACGGAGACAGGAUUGUGGUUUUUGCUGAUGUCCCCCAUUUAAUAAAACUACAGAGAAAUCAUUUUUUGGAUAAGGGCUUUACUAUCAAUGGAAAAAUUGUUAGAAAAGACAUUAUUCUGAAGCUGCUCUCGCUUACCUCCAACGACCUGUCCAUCACGCACAAAAUUUCUCAGAAGCAUUUGUCUGUAAUACGAGCAGAAAGGUAAUAUUUUUCAACGUGUGUCAGUUGAUCUAAAUUCCACUGACCCAAUUGAAAAAAAUGAUGACUUGGAGAUUCUGAACAACGACGGACUUGAGAAUUUGGCAGGGUACAUCUGCCACAAACUCGGUAAAGACAACCCCGAAAUUUGGGCCAAUUUAGAAAAUUGUUCGUCUUAUACUUGGAUGGAUCACCUUUCUGAAGGAGGACUCUCAAAACCAACAGAUAUGUUGAUGG